rnacentral:rRNA from 1 species
AGUGAACGCUGGCGGUAGGCCUAACACAUGCAAGUCGAACGGCAGCACAGUAAGAGCUUGCUCUUACGGGUGGCGAGUGGCGGACGGGUGAGGAAUACAUCGGAAUCUACUUUUUCGUGGGGGAUAACGUAGGGAAACUUACGCUAAUACCGCAUACGACCUACGGGUGAAAGCAGGGGAUCUUCGGACCUUGCGCGAUUGAAUGAGCCGAUGUCGGAUUAGCUAGUUGGCGGGGUAAAGGCCCACCAAGGCGACGAUCCGUAGCUGGUCUGAGAGGAUGAGCAGCCCCACUGGAACUGAGACACGGUCCAGACUCCGACGGGAGGCCGCAGUGGGGAAUAUUGGAGAAUGGGGGCAAGCCUGAUCAAGCCAUACCGCGUGGGUGAAGAAGGCCUUCUGGUUGUAAAGCCCUUUUGUUGGGAAAGAAAAGCAGCAGGUUAAUACCCCGCUGUUCUGACGGUACCCAAAGAAUAAGCACCGGCUAACUUCGUG